CCGCCCCAGCUUCUCCCACGGCCUCUCUUGGCGUCACCGCUCAGAGGAGGGUCCCCUGACUGGCCUGGAAUGUUGCCCGCUUCAGUUCCCCAGACCAGCUGAGGGCUCCAAAGCCUGGUGCCUUCCGUCCCGGCCACUGCCCAGCGGCGUCUGUGGAGGCAGCACCAGGCCCGAGGAGGCUCUGCUGGGCGGCAGCUGCCCACCAGGCCUAGCACCUUAACAAAGCCUGGGGAACAGGGGCACUGGGCCUGCGAGAGCGGC